ACCAUUUAGUGUGGUGCCCGAGUUCGAGCUGGGCUCACGCUUUCAUUUGCGUUCGGAAAAUGACCUACUUCCGGAUUAGCAUGCCCGGGCCACUUUUACUGUCGCUCGAUCUGGAAAAGGGCGAUGGAUGAAGGGAAUGGGAAUGGGAGCCUUGCCAUCGAUGGGCACCGACCAGCGGCAGCUAAUGAGGUUGUCGCCGUUGUAUCCACUUGAUAAUAAACAUCCGCCGCGUUCCGCAGUGAAAUGGACACGGCAAAGAACGGAAGCAAAUAUUUUCCGGUGGAAGCUGGCACAUCCAAAGGGGCAGUUCCUGUUCCAUACCUUUUUGGCCCUUUCCAGCUAUCAGUAAUGCAUUAAUUGACUGUUCCUAGUGAUCAACCAUAUCCUACCGUACUUAACUCACAGAUAUUAUUAGCUAAGUAUAUUCGACAUGGAGAAGUUUACAGCUUCUGGUCUGAUGCCCUAACAACAUGUUCAUCUUAAGUUAAAGGCAAGGAAUCUGCCCACUUGGGUACCUUCCGAUGACAUCGACUGCAAAUCGCCGCAUUCGUCGGCUUUUGCUUAAAGGGAAAAAUACCAAACAAAGGCAAUUGCAUUCGAGUGGAUCGAUCAGUGGUGGACCAGAAUCAAUGAACUCCAUGGAAGCCGCCGGCUAAUUUAGCCCAGCGCACGCGAAAAAUGCGCAAAGAACGAGUUGCACUGCUGCCGACAAAAGGAAGCAGCCACUUCCUAUUGAGAGGCGGCAAAAACACCUGAGCCCGGGGCUACCAGGUGAACACCAAUGGCGAACCCACUGGUGACCCCCACUCGCCGUGGCAGCGGGCGACUCUUCACACCCAAGCUGGCAUAAUUGCCCGCAUCAGAAGCGGGCAGGUUAAUUAGCUUGGAUUUGGGGGAAUCCUCAUCCCCUCACCCACGGCCAGAAAUCAAAGCGGAAAUUGUUUAUUAAACAAAUCCACAGGCAGUUCUAAUGGGCCGGGCAGCAUCCAUGGCGUGGAUAAUGGACUUUUAAUUGACUUCUGGCAUUUUCGGCAGCCUGCGUGCUGAGGCCUAUUAUAGUUCGGAAUUGAGAAUCAUAUGACAUAAUAAUAACCGGGUCUUCGCAGCUCCGGAAGCCUAACAAGCCAAUAUGCCCAAAUAAACAAAGGAGCUAUAUGGAGCAUUCGGUAUCGAUCGAUAGAGACUUCAAUGACGAUGUCGUAAGAGAAGUUGAAUGAUGGCGACAGGUAAUGACAGUCACACACUUUGAAAGUGGAUCAUUUGCAUUUGUGAAUAUGCUUGACACACAUUUUAUAAUAGGCUGUAUCACAAUUGAACAGCAAUCCCCCAGUCAGCAUUCCAUUAUAAUCGAUAUCGUUACCACUCACUUUCAUUCAAAGAGUUUACUGUACGCUAAAAAGUUUUGAAAAAAACAAACUAACAGUGCGUUUCAUCACUAAUAAAAUUAUUUAUCC
rnacentral:sRNA from 1 species